rnacentral:rRNA from 1 species
UGGCUCAGAACGAACGCUGGCGGCAGGCUUAACACAUGCAAGUCGAACGCAUCCUUCGGGGUGAGUGGCAGACGGGUGAGUAACGCGUGGGAACGUGCCCUUCAGUUCGGGAUAACCCAGGGAAACUUGGGCUAAUACCGGAUACGUGCGAGAGCAGAAAGAUUUAUCGCUGAAGGAUCGGCCCGCGUCUGAUUAGCUAGUUGGUGAGGUAAUGGCUCACCAAGGCGACGAUCAGUAGCUGGUCUGAGAGGAUGAUCAGCCACAUUGGGACUGAGACACGGCCCAAACUCCUACGGGAGGCAGCAGUGGGGAAUAUUGGACAAUGGGCGCAAGCCUGAUCCAGCCAUGCCGCGUGAGUGAUGAAGGCCUUAGGGUUGUAAAGCUCUUUCGUCCGGGACGAUAAUGACGGUACCGGAAGAAGAAGCCACGGCUA